UACGUAGGGGGCAAGCGUUGUCCGGAAUUAUUGGGCGUAAAGAGCUCGUAGGCGGUUCAGUAAGUCGGGUGUGAAACCCCCAGGCUCAACCUGGGGACGCCACCCGAUACUGCUGUGACUAGAGUCCAGUAGGGGAGUGUGGAAUUCCCGGUGUAGCGGUGAAAUGCGCAGAUAUCGGGAGGAACACCAGCGGCGAAGGCGGCACUCUGGGCUGGAACUGACGCUGAGGAGCGAAAGCGUGGGGAGCAAACAGG
rnacentral:rRNA from 1 species